rnacentral:lncRNA from 1 species
UUGCUGCCCAAAGUGCCAGGAGAUUUCAUGUCUACUGAAGGGCUCACUCUCUGCUCCAAAAAAUUGAUUCUACCAUGAGGAAAAGAAGGAACACUGGAAAUCACAUGGCAGGAGAAUGGAAGCUUUUCCAAAAAUUGUGAUGAAGCAGGCAGGGACAAGAAAAGGGGCCUUAUUAAAUGCCACUGGACCUUCCUCAAAGAGUUCCAUAGCCGGUCAAGGCCCAGCCACUGGAGAGGAACUCGGAAGUCACCGAGAAGCUGCAACUUGAGCGGCACCCCGCAAAGGUUGCUCCUAACAUUAUUCCCAGGGAUGGAAUAUACAUCCUUCAAACUACAAGGAACUCAAUUAUGCCCUGUACUUUUUGCUUUUCCAAGUGUGAGAUCAAGGUAAAUGUCAAUGAAUAUGGAUAUAGAUUUAGAUAUAGAUGAUUACAUGGAAGAAACAUAUUAAAUGUCA